ACUCAAAGGAAUUGACGGGGGCCCGCACAAGCGGUGGAGCAUGUGGUUUAAUUCGACGCAACGCGAAGAACCUUACCUGGGCUUGAACUGCCGGUGGUAAAAACCCGAAAGGGCUAUGAUCCUGGUUUCCAGGAAGCCGGUAGAGGUGCUGCAUGGCUGUCGUCAGCUCGUGUCGUGAGAUGUUGGGUUAAGUCCCGCAACGAGCGCAACCCUUGCAUUUAGUUGCCAGCGAGUCAUGUCGGGCACUCUAAGUGGACCGCCCGGGACAACCGGGAGGAAGGUGGGGAUGACGUCAAGUCAGCAUGGCCUUUAUGUCCAGGGCUACACACGUGCUACAAUGGACGGUACAAAGGGCAGCAAGACCGCGAGGUGGAGCAAAUCUUUAAAACCGUUCUCAGUUCGGAUUGGAGGCUGCAAUUCGCCUCCAUGAAGUCGGAAUCGCUAGUAAUCGCGGAUCAGCUACGCCGCGGUGAAUACGUUCUCGGGCCUUGUACACACCGCCCGU
rnacentral:rRNA from 1 species